GGUUCCAUAGUUCAGUUGGUUAGAGCAUCGUACUAAUAUAGUAACCCUAUAUCUGUAAUGCGAAAGUCGUGAGUUCGAGCCUCACUGGGACCA
rfam:Stachybotrys chlorohalonata IBT 40285 unplaced genomic scaffold scaffold1262, whole genome shotgun sequence.